rnacentral:rRNA from 1 species
CAAGAGCGUAUGUAAAAGUUGUUGCAGUUAAAAAGCUCGUAGUUGAACCUUGGGUUUGGUUGGCCGGUCCGCUUUUUUGCGAGUACUGGAUUCAACCGAGCCUUUCCUUCUGGCUAACCAGUCGUUUCGGCGGCUGGCGAACCAGGAUUUUUACUUUGAGAAAAUUAGAGUGUUCAAAGCAGGCAUUAGCUUAAAUAUAUUAGCAUGGAAUAAUAGAAUAGGACGUUAUGGUUCUAUUUUGUUGGUUUCUAGGACCAUCGUAAUGAUUAAUAGGGACGGUCGGGGGCAUCAGUAUUCAGUUGUCAGAGGUGAAAUUCUUGGAUUUACUGAAGACUAACUACUGCGAAAGCAUUUGCCAAGGACGUUUUCAUUAA